rnacentral:rRNA from 1 species
AUACGGAGGGUGCAAGCGUUAAUCGGAAUUACUGGGCGUAAAGCGCGCGUAGGCGGUUUGUUAAGUCAGAUGUGAAAUCCCCGGGCUCAACCUGGGAACUGCAUCUGAUACUGGUAAGCUAGAGUUUUGGAGAGGGAAGUAGAAUUUCAGGUGUAGCGGUGAAAUGCAUAGAGAUCUGAAGGAAUACCAGUGGCGAAGGCGACUUCCUGGCCAAAAACUGACGCUGAGGUGCGAAAGCGUGGGUAGCAAACGGGAUUAGAAACCCCGGUAGUCC